rnacentral:rRNA from 1 species
UACGGGAGGCAGCAGUGGGGAAUAUUGCACAAUGGGCGCAAGCCUGAUGCAGCCAUGCCGCGUGUAUGAAGAAGGCCUUCGGGUUGUAAAGUACUUUCAGUCGUGAGGAAGGUGUUAAGGUUAAUAACCUUAGCAAUUGACGUUAGCGACAGAAGAAGCACCGGCUAACUCCGUGCCAGCAGCCGCGGUAAUACGGAGGGUGCGAGCGUUAAUCGGAAUUACUGGGCGUAAAGGGCACGCAGGCGGUUAAUUAAGUUGGAUGUGAAAUCCCCGGGCUUAACCUGGGAAUGGCAUUCAAGACUGGUUAGCUAGAGUCUUGUAGAGGGGGUAGAAAUUCCAUGUGUAGCGGUGAAAUGCGUAGAGAUGUGGAGGAAUACCGGUGGCGAAAGGCGGCCCCUGGACAAAAGACUGACGCUCAUGUGCGAAAAGCGUGGGGAGCAAAACAGGGAUUAGAUACC